CUUCUAUGGCUUCUCCUUGUGUCCACGUCGAUUUUGGAGGCUGGGGCAUUUAGCUACACGUGUCGCGACCUCAGUGCUCUAAUCUUUUUUUUUUCUCGAGCGUUUUGGUUUCUGAUUCACUUCGUCUUCCUCAUCUCUCUGCGAUCUCCCCGAUGAGGUCCCGACACUUCGAGCGACUACGUAAAGCUUGUAACGUCUUCCCUAUCAAUAAAUCACAUCUUCACUCUGACUCCAAGCGAUUAAUCCAAUCCGUCGAAUUGAAGCAAUCAAAGUACCUCUUUAUCUUCCACACUAACCGAUUGAAGGCUUCACUAUAAAUAUCGGUCUCCUCCUGCUAUGCUGAGCACACCUCACACGUUAUCAAAUAGGAUUCUUAUUUGCAGCAAUCGAUUUCCAUGUCUUCAUACACUCUUCUUGCCGAUCCCAGAGCCGGACGAUGCUCUAAUACGGCGGAGGUGCGUCUGCUGCGUUUUUGGAGGCCAGAAAUAUCACCAAAGGCGGAGAACUCAUCAGUGUUGACAUGUUUCUCAUCGAUGAGAAUGUAAGGGAGGCCUUUCAAGCUUGUGUGGGUUCGUUGAGAAGCAGCAAAGCGCUUCCGGGUAGUUGUAAUAGAAGAAAACCAGUUGUGGAUCCAGAUCGGAUUCAAUUGAUGAUUACUCCCCUACUUCCCCUUCGCUGAUUUACGGAAAAUUUACCACUAUUGCUUCAGUAAAUGUGUUUUCAUUUCUCCUUUGAGAGAUGGUACUCGUAGGAGUUCGUAAAAGGACAACUGAAUAAAGAAGACUGUGUUCAUAGACUGUCUCUCGGAGAUUUAGAUGAAAACUUCUUACUCGCGUUUUGGAAUUUGCUGGUGAGCUGAAUCCAGCUAAACAAGCUGAUGCAAAAGAAUCCAGUUGACGGUAUUUGACCCUUCAUAUUUCUCAAUAACAUUGUCUCAUUGAAACAAAUCCAUUGAGCAACCUUUUUGUACAUAGGAAAGUGUACGGAGACUAUAUUACUUAGGAAGGAAAUAAAACUAGAAGGAGAAUGUUGUAUUUUAAUUUGUCAACCAAGCUGUACUCCCUCAUCUUCCCCUCUCACCAAGGAAGAUAUCCUCAAAAUCACACAUACUACUACUACUACAAGGGAUGAUAUGUGAAGACGCACUCAUUGUUUCCACAUAAUGUUCUAGAUUACUGCUGUUUUUGGGCACAUUUUGUUACUGUGGGACUCACAUGUCCGGUUAGUGAUAAACGUUUGGCGUUUGAACUUUCAACAUGAUGGUUGCUUGGGAGAUGUCUUCUGAUGCAAGCCAGUCAUUUCUCAGUGUUCACUGUUGGAUUUCUGUGUUUGCAAUCUGGUGAGUCAAAUUCAUAUCUGAAUGUGUUAUUACAAACAAGGAAGCAGAUCGAUGGGGAUCCAAUCAUCGAUUUAGAAGGCUUUUUCCCCGGAUUGCUCAAGAAAUUUAAUAAUAGCUGAUGUUAUAUGCGAAAUUUUGUUUGAUGGUGCUGACUUCUUAGUCUUCGUUAGCUGGUAAUAGAUUUGUAUGGUCUGGGAAGGUAAAUAAAAGCUUACAUCCUUAGAAACA